rnacentral:rRNA from 1 species
GACGAACGCUGGCGGCGUGCUUAACACAUGCAAGUCGAGCGGUAAGGCUCCUUCGGGAGUACACGAGCGGCGAACGGGUGAGUAACACGUGAGUAACCUGCCCCAUUCAUCGGAAUAACCAGUGGAAACGCUGGCUAAUGCCGAAUACGACCACCGAAGGCAUCUUCUGGUGGUGGAAAGCUCCGGCGGAGUGGGAUGGACUCGCGGCCUAUCAGCUUGUUGGUGAGGUAACGGCUCACCAAGGCGACGACGGGUAGCCGGCCUGAGAGGGUGACCGGCCACACUGGGACUGAGACACGGCCCAGACUCCUACGGGAGGCAGCAGUGGGGAAUAUUGGACAAUGGGCGAAAGCCUGAUCCAGCAACGCCGCGUGAGGGAUGACGGCCUUCGGGUUGUAAACCUCUUUCAGCAGGGACGAAGCGAAAGUGACGGUACCUGCAGAAGAAGGACCGGCCAACUACGU